rnacentral:ncRNA from 1 species
GAGCAAAGUUUUUUACGCUUUAUUUUAUAAUAUGUUUGUUAUUUACAUGUAAAUUUUUGUGAGAAUAGAAAAAUACUCUAAAAGAGUAUAUAUUUAAAGAUUUCACAGUAAGAAAUUUUGAGGUUUUUAAAAAAUUAAGAGUCAGAUAAAAAGUUUAAUAUUAACUAAAUUUGUGCCAGCAGUUGCGGUUAUACAGAUAAUGUAGUUAUAAAUGUUUAGUUAUGAAUUAAUAGAAUAAUAGAAUUAAAAUUAAAUUUUAUUAAGUGAAAUUUUAAGAUUUAUUUAAGUUUAUAAAAGAAUUAUGAGGUUACGAAAUUUUAGAUUUAAACUAGGAUUAGAUACCCUAUUAUUUAAAAUGUGAGUUUUUUACUAGAUUAGUAUUAGUUAAGAUCUUGAAAAUUAAAGAAAUUGGCGGUAUUUUAGUCUAUUCAGAGGAACUUGUUUUAUAAUUGAUAAUCCACGAGUUAUUGAACUUAUUUUUGAGAUUUACAUAUCGCCGUAGUUUGAAUAUUUUUUUAGGAAAGUAAUAUUCAAGAUUUAUUUUAUAGAGAAAAUCAGGUCAAGAUGUAGUUUAUAAGUAAGUAGGAAUGAGUUACAAUAAAUUUAUUUAGUAUGGAUUAAAAAUUGAAAUAUUUUUUUAAAGGUGGAUUUGAAAGUAAUUUUGUUUAAAUUAAUAAAAUGAUUUUAGCUCUAAUAUAUGUACAUAUUGCCCGUCGCUUUCAUUAUAAAGUGGAAUAAGUCGUAACAGAGUAGGCGUACUGGAAAGUGUGCCUAGAAAGA